CAUCUCUCGAGCCCCCCUUGUUCUUUCCCAGCAUUUGUUCUGACGGAGCAAGCCGAAGCACCGACUCCCUCGUGCACGGGCAUCCAGGCGACAUCGAGGUUGAUUCUUGGCUGGCAGCGUGCGGCGUACGGAAGAAGAGUUCUCCGCAAAGGCAGAAGUUUUUUGCCGUGAGGAAGUUAGAGAAGUGAAGAUGACAGAUUUGUUUAGUGUGAUACAAGCUACUAUGGUGAUAAAUCGUGUAGAAAACAGUGACCAAUACCCCGAAGAUUGGGUUAGUGACGAGGAUGGUUCAGGUGGUUCCACUGGAUUACCAGGGACACCAUGUUUUACCUCUAGGCUUUCAUUGUUCAAAGUUGGUUCGGUUGUUGCCAAGUUCAGUGAUUUCAAGCGGCAGCUAGUUAUGGAGACUGGUUUUGGGGGGUUUCUAGAGGUGAAGGCAUGGCAGAAGAUUAAUCUGAAGUAUAGUGCUUUUUUAAUGGAUCGAGUGGAUGUAGAAUCCAGUACAAUCAACAUUGAGGAACAGGGCAUGCUUGAAUUGUCCAAACAGAAGCUUAAUUAUGUUUUUGGCAUCCCCUCCGGUGAAUUCAAUAUAAACGGCGAAGGUGUCGAGCCAUCAGAAGCCUGCAUCGAGUACACACGAAUGGCAGCAUCAUUCAGUGACAAAGGCACGCAUAGCCUAAAAGCAGCUGAAAAUGUUUUGCUUGGAGUGAUAACAGAAUCGUCAUCCCAAAUACAGCAGGACUAUUUCAAGAUUGCAUUUGUUAUUUUUAUAAUCGGUCAUGUGCUGGCUCCCACCUCGAAACAUGAUUAUAUAUCCAUAGACUUCUGGGCUGCACUGAGUGACAUUGGCAAGAUCAAGAGUUGGAACUGGGGACGGUAUGUACUGAAACACCUGUUUCAAGCCGUCAGAAAGUUCAAGACAGAUGUUUCAAAGAGAAACCCAACCAUCCACAUAGUUGGUUGUCACUUGUUUUUGCAGGUUUUUGUUCUCGAUUGUCUCGACCUUGGUAUACUAAACAAGCCACGAGAAAUAACCCCAGCAUAGGUUUGUAUGAUUAUGAUUCAAUGAGGAAGAUGGUUGAGAAAAUUGUAGUGAACAUAUCUCUUGGGGAGAUUUCAUACCACGGGGGAGCGGUCUGGCCUGAGCUAUCUGUUAGCUAGCUGAUUGAACGCCAUGCGAAAGAUUCAUGCUCCAUAAAUCCCCCCCAAACAAGCAACAACCUCUAAAAGAGCAAGCAUACCAUCCAUGUCCAUGCUACGUUGUAAUUACACAAGGAAUGGCCCACAGGAAUUUUCAAAUUACAUCCGCACAAAAUAUCCGAGCAUAUCAGCAGAGAAGCUGGGUAUUCUUCUCCGUGAGCAGAAUGCACAUGGUCUCGCCAAUAUAACAGAAAUGUGCCAAGCAUUCCAGACCAACAUGUUCACUUUCACUGACAAGCUUAUGGCCUGUCUAGCAGAAAGUUGUACCUGCUGCAAGGCAUUUGGCCGCAAAUCUUGCAUUUUGAAUGGUGAAGGCACAACCAACUGUCAGCCACAUCCUACAACAUCAACAGACCAGAACCAAUUCAGCACUUCUUUAGUAAGCAAGGUUGGGCCACGCUUGCCUGCACCAGGCCACCAUGAAGGAGCCAUGUAUGCUACCAGAACAGCGUCUAGAAAAAGGGAAGGAAGUAUAUCAUCUAGUGUGCACUCUGGGUUAGCAAAGAAGCCAUGCUCACGCGAUGCACAACCGGUAUCAUCACUAGCACCAACACAUGAGAUUGACAAGCAAAGCGAGAUGGCCAUAGCAUAGGAUGCGUCCGUUAUGGAGAUUGCUAGCACGAUUGUCAUCAUGUAUGAUGAUCUAAUGGCCAUUCUUGUAACACAGCUGAGAUCCGGCCAUCUCCUGAGUACAUAUUGUUUGGAUCAACUACAGAAGGCGCACCUUUGAAGAUUGUCCUUCCUAAAUGCAAUUUCGGCAGAGACCCAUGGGUUGUUGGUACAGUAGCCGCCCCACCACCCGAGACAGCUCUCAGAGCUAUAAGAGACUAGAUGGCAGCAGCUUCUCCCUUAAAUCGUCAGAGGCAAGCAUAACCACUCAGCAAACAUACACUGAUGGGUCUGUAAAUUUUCAGAGGCAAGCACUAACCUUUGCCAUUCAUCUUUUCUGAUUAAUAGGCCAUGGGUUGUACACCCCAAACCUUGUUUCAUCUUAGUGGAGGGCUUAGAUAUUCAGCAAUAGCUUGUGGCACACGAGAAAAUGUCCCAUGAAAUUUGUACGUCCAUCUUCCGCGGGCUUGCCCAACUUGACAUGUGCUUCUCAAAAGACACUCCCGGGACGAUAUGGAGGAAAUACAUCAAGCCUGAUUUUGCGGUGAGUGAGACCAUCACACAAAGCCCCAAUCUGAAAAUUAUGACACAUUUUUACUGACCGCAAAACUUUUUCAAAUGUGCAAACAACUGUUACGUCUAAUGCCGACCCAUUGACCGUGCACUCCAUUAGGGCUAGCUUCCAGGAGGGAACCGCCUCUUGCAACCCAGCAUCAUGUCGCAUGGUAGUCCGACAUCAUUCAAACACUUUCCUUUUUUGUGCAACAUUACAUCCACAUUGCGAAUCACUUAUUUUUUUCUAUGUUCAUUUGGUAGUGGUUUAUUCCAGCAAUUCUCCCAAAUGGCUGGGUGGUUUAUGCAUUUGACAUGCUGCACAAGUGAAUCGUUGUUUAUGACCUUGUUGUUGGUCCAUUUAGAUACAGUAACCGCCGAGUCAGCAUGCAUGAAUUUGUGAGCAACAAACUUAAUGCUGCUUUGUUCAACUGCAUCUACAGUUUUUUCAGUUCAUGGCAUUGUGAAUCAACUCACUGGACACUUACAUUUCCAAUCAUAAUGAGAGAACAAUUUCACAAGGAUUAAGCCGGAUUGUGUGCCACUUUUUUGCAAGGAACUAUGAUGGUGACAAGUUGCAAAUCCCUCUCAGCAAAGAAACACUCGUAUUGCAUAGCAACCUCAUGUUGUACGAGCUGAUGAGGACGCAAGGAAAUCAAACAAAAGCUGCCAGCAACUCGCUCGAAGCAAUUAAAGGGUUGUUUGUCGUUUUGUAGGCAAACAUUGCUGUUUUAAUGAAGAGGUAGCCAUUUGUCUGUCUGCCAUUACUAGAUACAGCAUUUGUGUGUGUGGCAUCUUCCCAUUUUAAUCCCAUGUUGUAAUGAAGCUUAUCAGAGCUAAAUGCAAACAAGUUAGGACAAACCAGUUUUCAUCUGAUGUAGUUACAAGAUAGACAUGGGGAUACAUGUUUGGACCGUAA